GUUUAAUCUAUUUCCUCUGCCCUACUAUUGGCCCUGAGGUUGCUGACCUCGUAGGGUCAUUGUGAGGUGAGGAGAAAGGACAUCCUAGGUCACAAUGAACUGAGACUUUUUAUAGGGAGAGCUCCCUGGCCACAGGCUCAGGUUAACAUCUUCAAGUAGGCUGCCUCAGGAUUCAGGUGCUGGGUUCUUGGAUAAUAUCUAUCAUGGCUCAAUGCAUAUGGUACCUGCACAAACACCAAUUUUCUGAGAAGAUGAGGAGAAAGUCAUGUCAACAGAGGAUGAGAGAAAACCAAAAGAGAGUGAAUUGCUGUUAUUACCACUGCAAGAGUAUGGUUUGCUGAGGAGGCCCAUAUUUCCCUAUGGUGCCACUGCCCCCUGCUUUCUACCUCGACGUUAAAGGGUCAGGACCGUCCAGAACAACUUUGCAACUUUUAAGUCCCAUGAGCCCCCCAAAGCCCGCCCAGUAUCAGGAACCUCUGGUCAAUAAAAUCUGAUCACUGCAGCAAACAAACAAA